CCCCUACGCCGAGUUGGAUACUCAUGAAGAAAGCGUGUGCCCCACCUUUCACUGCCGAGUCGCAAAGCCGCGCCGUUCAGGAUGCACUGACUACGCCUGAUACACCUAGGCCUGCUGCGAAAAACGCCGCACCUGAGAUUACUGAACUCCACUUGGCUGGCCACCAAAAACAGUGUGAACCUCAGCGCUAAGGGCUUGAAUGCCACUGGGUUGUAGUGCCACCAACAGCGAGGGGAUUGCGUCGUGGUGGAAGAAGAGGAUGCGCGUGAUCACGUGCGAUGCAGCAGCAAUACUGGCGCGAGGGGGACAGAAAAUAAAGAAAACAUUGGUUGUGUGAAAA